GGAGCGGCACUAAGAGGGGGGGGGGGUGAAUUAGUGCAGCGGAUUAAAACUUCGAUUUUAAUAAAAUCUUUCGUACGUUAAGAACGAAACUUGAGAAAUUUAAUUUGAAGGCGUAUUCUUAAAGUUGCGCAGCAAGAGUAAUGAGGAACUAAAGCAGUAAGAAGAUUUGCAGUAAUGUAAAUGACAAUAAUAAAAAGCAAACCAGAGAUUACGCCGAUUUUUAGAGUGGUUUGGUCAAAUGACCUACUCUACUUGCGAGGCCCCUCUUUGAUGAGGCUCCCACCUUCCACUAGCAAGUCUCUUGAAAUGGAAGGGUAAACACCCCUCUUACAACCUUUUACAAGCAGCUCAACCUCUUACAAAUUUUCAAUAAGAAAGAAGGAGGAGAACUCUCUAGCAAAUUGAAAAACAAGACUUGCUAAGACUUUCUAAGACUUUUCUCUCAAUCAAAAUGCUUCUCAAAAGUUGUAACCUCAGCUGAGAUU
rnacentral:lncRNA from 1 species